CAGCUGGUUGGUGGGGUAAGAGCUCACCAAGGCGACGAUCGGUAGCUGGUCUGAGAGGACGAUCAGCCACACUGGGAUUGAGAACGGCCCAGACUCCUACGGGGGGCAGCAGUGAGGAAUUUUCGGCAAUGGGGGCAACCCUGACCGAGCAACGCCGCGUGCAGGAAGAAGGUUUUCGGAUCGUAAACUGCUUUUCUCGGGGACGAGCAAGGACGGUACCCGAGGAAGAAGCCCCGGCUAACUACGUGCCAGCAGCCGCGGUAAUACGUAGGAGGCGAGCGUUGUCCGGAGUUACUGGGCGUAAAGCGUCCGCAGGCGGUCUUUGAAGUUCAAAGUGACAGUCGUCGGCUCAACUGACGGAGGGCUGGGAAGACUCAAAGACUUGAGGGCUCAAGAGGGACACGGAAUUCCGGGUGGAGUGGUGAAAUGCGUAGAUAUCCGGAGGAACACCAAAGGCGUAGGCAGUGUCCUGGGGAGCCCCUGACGCUCAGGGACGAAAGCCAGGGGAGCGAACGGGAUUAGAUACCCCGGUAGUCCU
rnacentral:rRNA from 1 species